rnacentral:rRNA from 1 species
AUUGAACGCUGGCGGCAGGCCUAACACAUGCAAGUCGAACGAGUGGCGGACGGGUGAGUAAUGUCUGGGAAACUGCCCGAUGGAGGGGGAUAACUACUGGAAACGGUAGCUAAUACCGCAUACCAUCGGAUGUGCCCAGAUGGGAUUAGCGAGUAGGGGGGGUAACGGCUCACCUAGGCUACGAUCCCUAGCUGGUCUGAGAGGAUUACCAGCCACACUGGAACUGAGACACGGUACAGACUCCUCCGGGAGGCAGCAGUGGGGAAUAUUGCACAAUAGGCGCAAGCCUGAUGCAGCCAUGCCGCGUGUAUGACGAAGUCCUUCGGGUUGUAAAGUACUUUCAGCGAGGAGGCGUUACUCGCAGAAGAAGCUCCGGCUAACGCCGUGCCAGCAGCCGCGGUAAUAC